rnacentral:rRNA from 1 species
CUACGGGGGGCACCAGCUAAGAAUCUUCCGCAAUGGACGAAAGUCUGACGGAGCGACGCCGCGUGGACGAAGAAUGUCGAGAGAUUGUAAAGUCCUUUUAUCAGAGAAGAAUAAUUAUCGUAGGGAAUGACGGUAAGAUGACGUUAUCUGAUGAAUAAGCCCCGGCCAAUUACGUGCCAGCAGCCGCGGUAACACGUAAGGGGCGAGCGUUGUUCGGAAUCAUUGGGCGUAAAGGGCAAGCAGGCGGCUUUGUAAGUCUGGCGUGAAAUACUGAGGCUCAACCUCAGAAACGCGUUGGAAACUGUGAAGCUUGAAUCCGUGAGGGGUAUGUGGAAUUCCUGGUGUAGGGGUGAAAUCUGUUGAUAUCAGGAAGAACACCUGAGGCGAAGGCGACAUACUGGCACUGGAUUGACGCUGAGAUGCGAAAGCGUAGGGAGCGAACAGGAUUAGAUACCCUUGUAGUC